UACGUAGGGCGCGAGCGUUGUCCGGAUUUAUUGGGCGUAAAGAGCUCGUAGGCGGCUUGUCGCGUCGACCGUGAAACCCGUGGCUCAACUACGGCUGGCGGUCGAUACGGGCAGGCUGGAGUUCGGUAGGGGAGACUGGAAUUCCUGGUGUAGCGGUGAAAUGCGCAGAUAUCAGGAGGAACACCGGUGGCGAAGGCGGGUCUCUGGGCCGAUACUGACGCUGAGGAGCGAAAAGCGUGGGGGAGCGAACAGG
rnacentral:rRNA from 1 species